GACGAACGCUGGCGGCGUGCCUAAUACAUGCAAGUAGAACGCACAGUUUAUACCGUAGCUUGCUACACCAUAAACUGUGAGUUGCGAACGGGUGAGUAACGCGUAGGUAACCUGCCUGGUAGCGGGGGGUAACUAUUGGAAACGAUAGCUAAUACCGCAUAAUAUUGAUUAUUGCAUGAUAAUUGAUUGAAAGAUGCUAUUGCAUCACUACCAGAUGGACCUGCGUUGUAUUAGCUAGUAGGUGAGGUAACGGCUCACCUAGGCGACGAUACAUAGCCGACCUGGGAGGGUGAUCGGCCACACUGGGACCGGGACACGGCCCAGAACCCUACGGGAGGCAGCAGUAGGGAAUCUUCGGCAAUGGACGAAAGUCUGACCGAGCAACGCCGCGGGAGGGAAGAAGGGUUUCGGAUCGUAAAGCUCUGUUGUAAGAGAAGAACGGGUGUGAGAGUGGAAAGUUCACACUGUGACGGUAGCUUACCAGAAAGGGACGGCUAACUACGUG
rnacentral:rRNA from 1 species